rnacentral:rRNA from 1 species
CAAGUGCCAGUUUAAGUGUUUAACCGCGAAACUGCGAAUGGCUCAUUACAUCAGUUAUAGUUUACAUGAUAAUCACUGCUACUCGGAUCACCGUAGCAAUUCUAGGGCCAAUACGUGCGAAAAGCGUCGAAAGACGUGUAUUUAUUGGGUACAACCAACCCUUCGGGUUUUUGGUGAAUCACGAUAACUGAGCGGACCGUAUGCGCGAGCGACGGUGUUUCAUUCAAGUUUCUGCCCUAUCAGCUUUCGAUGGUAGGGUAUUGGCCUACCAUGGCGUUAACGGGUAACGGAGAAUUAGGGUUCGAUUCCGGAGAGGGAGCCUGAGAGAUGGCUAUCACAUCCAAGGAAGGCAGCAGGCGCGUAAAUUACCCAAUCCUGACACAGGGAGGUAGUGACAAGAAAUAACGAUGCGGAGGCGCAAGCCUUCGCAAUCGGAAUGAGUACAAUUUAAAUCCCUUAACAAGGAACAAUUGGAGGGCAAGUCUGGUGCCAGCAGCCGCGGUAAUUCCAGCUCCAAUAGCGUAUAUUAAAGUUGUUGCAGUUAAAAAGCUCGUAGUUGAAUUUCUGGACCAAACCGCCGGAUCCGCCGCAAGGUGUGACUUGGCGAUUGGCCCAUCCUUGCGGGAAAGUCGUCCUCUUCAUUGAGGGCGGUGGACCCGCAUCCUUUACUGUGAAAAAAUUAGAGUGUUUAAAGCAGGCUUGUGGCUUUGAAUACCUUAGCAUGGAAUAAUAAGAUAGGACUUCGGGUGCUAUUUUGUUGGUUGCGUACCGGGGUAAUGAUUAAUAGGGGCAGUCGGGGGUGUCCAUAUUUAACUGUCAGAGGUGAAAUUCUUGGAU